GUCCCCGGAGCCCCAACACACUAGAGUGGUAGCGGCACAUCUCAGCAGCGUCCCACCCCGAGAGGGGCCUCCAGGGGACUGGCACGUGGGAGGGCCUUCACCAGAUGGUGUCACCGUUCUAUUAGGCUGACAGGGAACUUGGGAAGACCAGAGAGCCCCAGGGGCGUGAGCUCACUGCCACAGUUCAUCAGCUCUAAGAUGGGUCCUCGGUGUGCCGCAUGUCCAACAGGAAGGAAGGUGGAAGCAGAGAGAGAUUUGGUUACAGAAGAAGAGAAGGUGAGGUGACCACGGAGGCAGAGACUGGAGUGAUGCAGCCAGAAGCCAAGGAGUGCUGGACGUUGGACGAGGCAAGGGACAAAUUCUCCCCUGGAAACCCCAGGAGGAAGCACUCCUGCUAACACCUUGAUUUUAGCCCCGUAAGACAGCUUGCGUGUCCAGAGCUGUAAGAGAAUAAACUUCCGUUGUUCUAA